rnacentral:lncRNA from 1 species
UAGAGGUUCUCAGCCCAAGCUUCAAGUCCAGGGCCAGACCUUUUCCAGAUCUACAGGGAUUUUCAUUUCUGUAGUAUUUGUGUCUGUCCUCCCUACCCAUCUGUCCCCCGCGCAGCCCCAGGGAGGCCCCACCACUCCACCUGCCGCAGCUCCGCUGCACCGCCGCUUGCUCCGCAGCUUGCUCCUCCCCUAUGUGGGCAGUGACCCUGUGCUCACCCAGUCCUGACUUCAACCUGAGCUUCCCUCACUCAGCAGCCUUCUUCCUCCUGGAAUCAAGGAGAAGUGAAGUACAGGAAAUGUCAGAAAACAACAUGCUGGAUUUUUCUCUUCUUGUUUUGUUGAGUUUUUUUGUUUUGUUUUUAUUGUCAACCUUAUACAAGUGAAGCUCAUCUUCAAAGAGGACUUCUUUCCCACCCCCCACCCCACCCCCAUGCAAAAGCAAGAGGUUUAUUUUCCAGAGCAUCGAGACGAGUUAAUAAGAAGGCGACCCCAAAUGGCUGUUACAAGCAGUUUUUAUACUUUUUAGGGGCACAGGUUACACCAGCAAGAUUACAGCUUGUUACUUCCUCCCAGCCUAGCAAGGCUGACUCAGACCAUCCCGCCAAUUAGGCGGAGUCACCUGCUGUGCUGCUUCUCAUCCCUCUCCUUUGAUGUGCCACUACCUGCCUGAGGCCGAACCUGCCUGAGGCCGAACCGGUUCUCUGAGAUUUUCCGGAGUUAUCACCGAAAUGUGAUCUUCGAUAGUUCCUACUAAAAGACUGAUCUGACUACUUCAAAGGAACUUUGUGUGACUGGGAAUGGGCCUUCCCUCUUCUUUAUGAAGCGUGCUUGCAGACAUUAAAGUUGAACCUUGAUCAGACUAUUUGUCUUGGUUCCAUUCUUUCUCUCGUUGCCUAGAUUCCCUCUUUUCUUCCAGAUUCCAAGAUGCCUUCCAGGCUCGAACCCGGACAUGUGAGCCACUGGCCAGCCUCAACAACAGCUCAAACUUAUUGGAUAAGCAUAUUGACCUUUAGACCUAUUGGCUAGCAAGCAUGACAGGUACUUGAACUCUACCUGGGACUUUCCAGAGGGUCAGGUACAUUCUGAGUAUUUUUUACUCAAGAAUGUUCUUGUGAGUGGAGAAUGGAACUUGGCCUAGCCUUGACUCCAGGCACGAGAGGGAAGCUGUAAGGAGGGUGUGGGACUGGAAAACCACUUAGCCUCCCUCAUUCCCCCCUUUUUCUUGUAUAAGCUCCAAUCCUGGAGCUAUGCUCAGGAGUCAUAUUCUUCAGAUCCUUUUCUCAGGGUCUCAUAUUGUUGGCCCAGAACCAUCAGCUGCACUGAUCCUAUUCUCUCUUUUAUGAAGGCUAUAAGUUUGUUCAAUAUGCAGGGUCCAAUAGCAGGAGAACAAUUAGGGGACUUAACAAGAGCAGAUAUGAAGGUGGUAACCAGGGGGAGGAGUUAAACCAAGAUUUGAACCAGCUCUGACUCUGUUUUUUCUCUCUCUCUCUCUUCCACUUGGCUAAACCUUCUCUCACCUUGCCCACUGAAUCUUUAACUACCCCCAGAAUUGUCUCCAAUUCUGCUAACCCUAAGCCUGUUUCACAUCCCCAGGUAGCAGAGAAAAAGUGGUUGGCCUAGCACUGAUGAGUCUGCUGUUGGCUUCUCUCAUUC